AAUUAACCCUCACUAAAGAGAGUUUGAUCCUGGCUCAGGACGAACGCUGGCGGCGUGCUUAACACAUGCAAGUCGAACGGAAAGGCCCUGCUUGCAGGGUACUCGAGUGGCGAACGGGUGAGUAACAMGUGGGUGAUCUGCCCUGCACUUCGGGAUAAGCCUGGGAAACUGGGUCUAAUACCGGAUAGGAGCCAUUUUUAGUGUGAUGGUUGGAAAGUUUUUUUCGGUGUAGGAUGAGCUCGCGGCCUAUCAGCUUGUUGGUGGGGUAAUGGCCUACCAAGGCGGCGACGGGUAGCCGGCCUGAGAGGGUGGACGGCCACAUUGGGACUGAGAUACGGCCCAGACUUCUACGGGAGGCAGCAGUGGGGAAUAUUGCACAAUGGGCGCAAGCUGRAUGCAGCGACGCCGCGUGGGGGAUGACGGCCUUCGGGUUGUAAACUCCUUUCGCUAGGGACGGAGCUUUUUGUGACGGUACCUAGAUAAGAAGCACCSGCUAACUACGUGCCAGCAGCCSCGGUAAUACGUAGGGUGCGAGCGUUGUCCCGAAUUACUGGGCGUAAAGGGCUCGUAGGUGGUUUGUCGCGUCGUCUGUGAAAUUCCSGGGCUUAACUCCGGGCGUGCAGGCGAUACGGGCAUAACUUGAGUACUGUAGGGGUAACUMGGWA
rnacentral:rRNA from 1 species